rnacentral:tmRNA from 1 species
GGGGCUGCACUGGCUUCGACGGGGGUUGCGAAAUUGCCUGGCGCAUGCCGAGGGGGCAGCUUUCCUCGUAAAUCCAGCGGCAAACAUCUAGUUGCCAACGACGACAACUACGCUCUCGCCGCUUAAGGCGUAAGCCCCGAACCCACUUGUGCCCGUGCUCGUGGAUGUAGGGUCAUUAUCACGGGGUACAGCCGAGGUGGCCGCCUGUCUGCCCCGGCUGAACUUACAGGCUGGUCCUCCGAUGCGCUUUGCGCACCGUGCUGUCGGGGGGCGAGAUCCAACGGUGAGCUAAGCAUGUAGUGCCGGGGAUGGAGUGCCUUCGGACGCGGGUUCGACUCCCGCCAGCUCCACCA